rnacentral:lncRNA from 1 species
GUUUGGUUUGCCAUCACUUUUUGUGACUUUUCUGACAUCUGCAAGUGUCGGAAGUGUGACCUGAAACAUUUAAGGACACUUCUGCCUGAACCAUGGGCAGAUGUUUAGACUCCAAGAUACAGAGGAGGAGGGUCUUGGAGGUUUCUUAGUAUAAGUUCCUCCCUGUGGUACUUGCAGUUCCUACAAGGGGCUGUCAGAGAAACAAGCCGGAGAAGAGCAAGACAUGGUCCUGGUGCAUGAAAGGAGCCUAAGAAAGAAGAGUGAAAGCUGCACGUGUGUGAGUAUCUAGCAGAACAUCUAGAAAAUGCACACCAACCUCCAGCAGCAGAAAACAGUCUACCUCCAGAAAGCCAUAAAAGAGAAAAGAAUGUUGUACCAAACUAAGCAAAUGAAGCAUGAAAUGAAAAGCCGGUUGAGCUGGGAGGUAUAAAGAAUGGAAAGGAAGCAGCUACCACCCCUGGUAACCCCAUCAAUCCGGAGAAGCUUCGCAGAGUUACACUGUGCUCUGUCGGGAAGGAAAUGAAUUUUCCUCAUUGUACACAUUCCGAGAAAAAUGAGGCUAAGACUAUUUCAAAGGAUGUUCUACCUAAUUCGAAUGGGCUUUAAGUGCCAUCUUCACAAUAGCGCCAGAGUCUGGUGUCAGCAAACUGAACAAAUAGAGCUACAGGGAGCGAAUGGGGCUGGGUGCCUCUCCAAAACAUAUGCAGAUGAACUUGAGAUUUCAGAGGACGGUUAAUCCUACACAGCAGUCAAGUGCCUUCCCAGGGGUAUGUCUCAGAUCUCAGGGCUCCCUUCCAAACACUGGCUGCCACGUCAAACCAAAGGGGACGAGCAAUCAGACUCACCUCAAACGCCAGUUAAGAAAGCCGGCCUUACUUAAGCAAUCAAGGGCAAGUGAUCAGCCAACUCUGCUUUCUUUCCUUUCUCUUGGAUCAUUUAUAGACCUUGUGGCCGUGGCCACCACAUUGAGAAGCCCUUGGUCUCUACUUGGACUCACUAUAGCAGGU